GACGAACGCUGGCGGCGGGCUUAACACAUGCAAGUCGAACGGAAAGGUCCUGCUUUUGUGGGGUGCUCGAGUGGCGAACGGGUGAGUAACACGUGAGUAACCUGCCUUUGACUUUGGGAGAACUUUUGGAAACUGGGGCUAAUACCGGAUAUGAGCUUCUGCUUCAUGGCGGGGGUUGGAAAGUUUCGGCGGUUGGGGUUGGAUUUGCGGCUUAGCCGCUUGUUGGUGGGGUGGUGGCUUACCAAGGCGUCGACGGUUAGCCCGCCUGAGAGGGUGACCGGCCACAUUGGGACUGGGAAACGACCCGGACUCCUACGCCAGGCCGCAGUUGCGAAUAUUGUCUAAUGGGCGGGACGCUCUUGCGGCACCCCCGCUUUCGGGAUGAAGGCAUUAUGGGUUAAGCCCACAAUCGCCUGUUGCGCAGCGUGAAUAGCAGUAAUAGGGAGAGAAACACCGGCUAACUACGUA
rnacentral:rRNA from 1 species